rnacentral:tmRNA from 1 species
GGGGGCGACCUGGUUUCGACAGGGGUUGUGAAGCGGCUAGGGCAUGUCGAGGACCCGUCACCUCGUUAAUCAAUGGGAAAAACGUAACCGCAAACGGUCCGCCCCCCAAAGUGUCCAUACUUCUGAGGGUGAGUGAAUAGCACUCUGGCCUAGGAGCAGUUUUCGAAGUAUGGAGGUUUCCAUACGCCUCCAUAG